rnacentral:rRNA from 1 species
UACGAAGGGGGCUAGCGUUGUUCGGAGUUACUGGGCGUAAAGGGCGCGUAGGCGGCGCCCCAAGUCAGGCGUGAAAGCCCUGGGCUCAACCCGGGAAUUGCGCUUGAGACUGGUGUGCUUGAGUACGGGAGAGGAUAGUGGAAUUCCCAGUGUAGAGGUGAAAUUCGUAGAUAUUGGGAAGAACACCGGUGGCGAAGGCGGCUAUCUGGACCGUAACUGACGCUGAGGCGCGAAAGCGUGGGGAGCAAACAGG